AAUGAACGCUGGCGGCGCGCCUAAUACAUGCAAGUCGAGCGAGAAGACGUAGCAAUACGUUUGUAAAGCGGCGAACGGGUGAGGAAUACAUGGGUAACCUACCCUCGAGUGGGGAAUAACUAGCCGAAAGGUUAGCUAAUACCGCGUACGCUUCUUGGACUUCGGUUCAGGGAGGAAAGCGAUGCCGAGGGUAUCGCGCUCUUGGAUGGGCUCAUGUCCUAUCAGCUUGNGGUGAGGUAACGGCUCACCAAGGCUUCGACGGGUAGCUGGUCUGAGAGGACGAUCAGCCACACUGGCACUGCGACACGGGCCAGACUCCUACGGGAGGCAGCAGUAAGGAAUAUUGCGCAAUGGGCGAAAGCCUGACGCAGCGACGCCGCGUGGGGGAUGAAGGUCUUCGGAUUGUAAACCCCC
rnacentral:rRNA from 1 species